AACGGGGUAGAGGAGUUCGGCCGUCCUCACCGGUCUCAUACGCCGGAAAUCGUGGGUUCAAAUCCCACCCCCGUCAC
rnacentral:tRNA from 1 species